CAGUCGCCGCGGGAAUACGAAGGGUGCAAGCGUUAAUCGGAAUUACUGGGCGUAAAGCGUGCGUAGGCGGUUUGUUAAGUCUGCUGUGAAAUCCCCGGGCUCAACCUGGGAAUGGCAGUGGAUACUGGCAAGCUAGAGUGUGUCAGAGGAUGGUGGAAUUCCCGGUGUAGCGGAGAAAUGCGUAGAGAUCGGGAGGAACACCAGUGGCGAAGGCGGCCAUCUGGGACAACACUGACGCUGAGGCACGAAAGCGUGGGGAGCAAACAGGAUUAGAUACCCCCGUAGUCCCUGUCUCUUAUAC
rnacentral:rRNA from 1 species